AAGCGGCCCCCCCUGGACAAAGACUGACGGCUAAGGUUCGCGAAAGCUGGGGGAACAAACAGGAUAGAUACCCUGGUAGUGCACGCCGUAAACGAUGUCGACUUGGAGGUUGUUCCCUUGAGGAGUGGCUUCCGGAGCUAACGCGUAAAGUCGACCGCCUGGGGAGUACGGCCGCAAGGUUAAAACUCAAAUGAAUUGACGGGGGCCCGCACAAGCGGUGGAGCAUGUGGUUUAAUUCGAUGCAACGCGAAGAACCUUACCUACUCUUGACAUCCAGAGAACUUUCCAGAGAUGGAUUGGUGCCUUCGGGAACUCUGAGACAGGUGCUGCAUGGCGUCGUCAGCUCGUGUUGUGAAAUGUUGGGUUAAGUCCCGCAACGAGCGCAACCCUUAUCCUUUGUUGCAGCGGUUAGGCCGGGAACUCAAAGGAGACUGCCAGUGAUAAACUG
rnacentral:rRNA from 1 species